CCGGGUAGACUAACACAAGGUGCAUGAUCACCGGGUAGACUAACACAAGGUGCAUGAUCACCGGGUAGACUAACACAAGGUGCAUGAUCACCGGGUAGACUAACACAAGGUGCAUGAUCACCAGGUAGACUAACACAAGGUGCAUGAUCACCGGGUAGACUAACACAAGGUGCAUGAUCACCGGGUAGACUAACACAAGGUGCAUGAUCACCGGGUAGACUAACACAAGGUGCAUGAUCACCGGGUAGACUAACACAAGGUGCAUGAUCACCGGG